rnacentral:rRNA from 1 species
UACGUAGGGUCCGAGCAUUGUCCGGAAUUAUUGGGCGUAAAGAGCUCGUAGGCGGUUCGUCGCGUCGGCUGUGAAAACCUGAGGCUCAACCUCAGGCCUGCAGUCGAUACGGGCGGACUUGAGUACUGCAGGGGAGACUGGAAUUCCUGGUGUAGCGGUGAAAUGCGCAGAUAUCAGGAGGGAACACCGGUGGCGAAGGCGGGUCUCUGGGCAGUGAACUGAC